AGAGUUUGAUCAUGGCUCAGAGCGAACGCUGGCGGCAGGCCUAAUACAUGCAAGUCGAGCGAGAACCAGGACUUCGGUCCUGGGGAGAGCGGCGAACGGGUGCGUAUCACGUGAGCAACCUGCCUCGGAGACCGGAAUAACUCGAGGAAACUCGGGCUAAUGCCGGAUGCCCUCGGUGGACCGCAUGGUCCGGCGAGGAAAUGGAUUCCGCUCCGAGAUGGGCUCGCGGCCUAUCAGCUUGUUGGUGGGGUAACGGCCUACCAAGGCAACGACGGGUAGCUGGUCUGAGAGGACGAUCAGCCACACUGGGACUGAGACACGGCCCAGACUCCUACGGGAGGCAGCAGUAGGGAAUCUUGCGCAAUGGGGGAAACCCUGACGCAGCGACGCCGCGUGCGGGAUGAAGGCCUUCGGGUCGUAAACCGCUUUCAGCAGGGACGAAAUUGACGGUACCUGCAGAAGAAGGCCCGGCCAACUACGUGCCAGCAGCCGCGGUGAUACGUAGGGGUCUAGCGUUGUCCGGAAUUAUUGGGCGUAAAGAGCUCGUAGGCGGUUCGGCAAGUCGGAUGUGAAAUCUCCACGCUUAACGUGGAGGGGCCAUUCGAAACUGCCGUGACUCGAGUCCGGUAGGGGAGUUCGGAAUUCCCGGUGUAGCGGUGAAAUGCGCAGAUAUCGGGAGGAACACCAGUGGCGAAGGCGGAACUCUGGGCCGGAACUGACGCUGAGGAGCGAAAGCGUGGGGAGCGAACAGGAUUAGAUACCCUAGUAGUCC
rnacentral:rRNA from 1 species